rnacentral:rRNA from 1 species
AUGCGUUCGUUUGCUAAAAAAAAGACUUUCUCAGAAUUUCCUAUGCGGGCCGCGCUUUCAGGCCCAGCGAAGACAGCCCACUUGUUUUUCUGCCAACACAGCUGUGAAAAUUCUAUUUUCCGCACAGGACAACAAAUAGUGAGAGCUUCGCACAGGAGAACCAAUAAUGGGGUGCCCAUUUUUCUUUGUUUCUGUGUUUUAUUUUUAUUUUUGUUCUUCUUCCCCAAUCUAUUUUUUCACUUCCAAGUUAACUUUUCUUAUAUAAUUUAUUUCAUAAAUAUAAAAUUCUCAAAACGUUCAGACAUUAAAAAAAAUCAGAUUAUAGAAAAUGCUCAGAAUUCCAAAAUUUUGUUGCAAUUUUAG